rfam:Candidatus Scalindua brodae SCABRO_contig000196, whole genome shotgun sequence.
GGGCGAUUAGCUCAGUUGGCUAGAGCACUUGCUCGACAAGCAAGGGGUCACUGGUUCGAGUCCAGUAUCGCCCA